ACAUCAAAGCCUUCGCUGCAAGUUACAGUGUGAAGUUCGACAUGUUCAGCAAGAACGAGGUGAACGGAGACGGCGCCCACCCCCUCUGGAAGUGGAUGAAGAGCCAGUCCAUAGCCGGGGGACGCUGGGCAAUGCCAUCAAUGGAACUUCAGCAAGUUUCUCAUCAACAAGGAGGGCCAGGUGGUGAAGAGGUACAGCCCAAUGGAUGACCUCUUUGUGAUCGAGAAGGACCUGCCCGCUUACCUGUAGGACUUAGCUGAACACACCGGAUCAUCCUGCAUUUCCCCAGCCCCAUCUCUCUCCACUGCUUUCCUGCAAAGUUUGCCUUGAUGAUGGCCUGCCUUGAAGCCAAACCCAUUUGGUGAGGCAGGCCUGAGAAAAAUAUAUAUCUAUUUUUGCAAACUCUUGCAGGGAAGGGGAGGCGGUAGACUCUGGGGCCUGGAGUUGCCUGCCAAUGCUGUAGCAAUAAACGUGUUUUUGUCUCUC